AUCAGCCUACGGGGGGCAGCAGUGGGGGAUAUUGCACAAUGGGGGGAACCCUGAUGCAGCGACGCCGCGUGGGUGAGGAAGCGCCUCGGCGCGUAAAGCCCUGUCAGCAGGGAAGAAAAUGACGGUACCUGAAGAAGAAGCCCCGGCUAACUACGUGCCAGCAGCCGCGGUAAUACGUAGGGGGCAAGCGUUAUCCGGAUUUACUGGGUGUAAAGGGAGCGCAGGCGGCAUGGCAAGUCUGAUGUGAAAACCCGGGGCCCAACCCCGGGAGGGCAUUGGAAACUGCCAGGCUGGAGUGUCGGAGG
rnacentral:rRNA from 1 species